AAGAAAAUAAACGUGACAAAAGUAGAGCAAAUAGUUCCAACAUUGACAAGUACGUACAUCCCAAUAUUUCUUGUUUAUAAGAAAGAUAAGAUAUAGAAUUGAGUUUAUUCACAAAUGAGAAAAUAGGUGAAAAGUAUCAAAAGGCUUGCUACGCAGGAGAGAUGAUGCUGGACGAUCGAUGAACAAAUUCAAUCCCUAGUUAGAUUAUCUUUAUUUAUUGGCCAGCAUCAUACUCCUGCAUAUUAAGCCUCCAACGAUGCUACAAAACCAGGUUAAUUAAUUACGAUCGACUGUUGGAGGAGAAACCAUUGUUAGAAAUGUUCACGUAGAAGCUCCUCUUUCAUCUGCAGGCUGAAUUGUUGGGACCAGGAUGGUUAUAGAUACUUGAGAGAGUUUAUUUGUCUCAUUUAUAGACUAUAAUUGAUACUUAUUUAAUCCACAUAUAUCAGCUCACAGUGUCACUUGUUUCUUAACAAGUUUUUUCAGGUUUAGAAGGAGGCACCUGCUCUAACUUGCCUAAACAACUCUUUUUUAUUCUUUUUCCUUCUAAAAGAAAAUGAGCACUUUUCCAGUACUAGGCAAAAAGAAAAGCUUGUGUUAAGUAUAACGCUUUUGCAGAAUGAUUUGAUCCAUCAAUGAUAGCUCUAUGAGAGGCUAAUGACAGAUUUGGAUCCCCUAAAGAUCUUGGCAGCAGGUAGAGAGAUUUUUUUUUUCCUCGAUCUUUAAAGCACAAGGAAAUGCGGACAGAGCAAAGGUCAGCAGAGGGUUUCAAGCAUAGGGUGAAGGUUCGGCCUUUAAGAUUCAGAUAAGAAAAGAGUUCCAAACAAACGUAGAAAUCACAAAGCCAGCUAAAAAAUAAGCAGGCAACAAGGAUAGGCCAGAUAAAGUCGCAAAAUAAAGGAAAAACACGAGACUCUCUAUCUUCUAGGAACAUUGUGUAUUUUGUACGGUAUUUUAAAAAGCAUUUUCGGGGCUCGCCCUGCCUCAGGGCGAUGCGCACUAAAGACACACCGAGGUGUACUGGCAAGACGCACUAAAAACACACCUCACACUCAUGCCUUUUAAAACACUGAUUCUGCAUGAUAGACUGAGGAAAUAGGAACCAUCAUAGCCAAUUGCAGCUGCACAAAUUUUUGUUAUUUUCCUUGAGCAAGUGUAGUGGAUCAUUUUUAUCCUUUCCCCUCUCCUUGUGCACCUCAUUAUCUUCUCUUUCCUUACUGGAUUCAUGAGAUUCCAAGUUCCUGUGGCUUCUGUGUUGGAGCAUAUCACCAAUUCUUUAGGACAGUAAAAUAUAUGAAAGUUCAGAUGAAGGUACUGUGAGCUGAGGAUUCCCCUUACAAUGGGUUCCCUAAGAGAUAUACAAGAAAAUUCAAUCAUGUCAAAUUUGCAUUGAUUUGAAUAAGAAGUACGUCCGUUCUGGU